CAAUUUUAACAAUACAGAGAAGAUUAGCAUUGUCCUUGCAUAAAGAUGACACGCUUUACAAAGAGAUUUACCAUUUUUUUUUUACCUU